UUCACAAAUUACGCACGCUCUUAAGGCUGGAGGGGGGGUUUGACAAAAGCGUACGCUUCAUACAUUUUUGAAAUUUUCUCCAUACAUUUUCACGUGCAAGGGGGGUCUGAAAUUUCGAAUUUGGUGCGUGCGUAAUUUGUGAAUGGCCCCUAAUAUCAAAAGAUGUGA